CCUACGGGCUGCAGCAGUCGAGAAUCAUUCACAAUGGGGGAAACCCUGAUGGUGCGACGCCGCGUGGGGGAAUGAAGGUCUUCGGAUUGUAAACCCCUGUCAUGUGGGAGCAAAUUAAAAAGAUCGUACCACAAGAGGAAGAGACGGCUAACUCUGUGCCAGCAGCCGCGGUAAUACAGAGGUCUCAAGCGUUGUUCGGAAUCACUGGGCGUAACGCGUGCGUAGGCUGUUUCGUAAGUCGGGUGUGAAAGGCGCGGGCUCAACCCGCGGACGGCACAUGAUACUGCGAGACUAGAGUAAUGGAGGGGGAACCGGAAUUCUCGGUGUAGCAGUGAAAUGCGUAGAUAUCGAGAGGAACACUCGUGGCGAAGGCGGGUUCCUGGACAUUAACUGACGCUGAGGCACGAAGGCCAGGGGAGCGAAAGGGAUUAGAUACCCGUGUAGUC
rnacentral:rRNA from 1 species